ACUGCAUGCGCUGGCAGCUCUGGCGAGGAGGCAUUUGCUGCCUCGUCUCCUCCUGCCACCCCGCAUUGCACCUUCCUGCAGCUCUCACCUCCCACCCCACCGGUGGUGGCUCUGUUGGGAAACCCAUCCUCGGGCUACGUCUGUCACACGUGGGCAGCCCAGAGAGGUGGCGAUGGGGCUGAGAGCGUUUCCAGGGCAGGGACUCGCUUUGGACGUGGGAAACACAGAGGGGAGAAGUGGUACAGCAUGAUGUCACCAAGGGAGGUGUGACAAGGAUUCCAGGGGUUCCUUCUGUGCAAGAUCCAGAGUGCCCAUGUGCUGCUCCCUGGGGAUGAAGCAACCAUCUCUUCUCCAAAAUCCCUCAGUCCAUCCAAAGUUCUUCACCAAGAAGCAACCAGGCAUGCGCUCCCAGCACAUGGAGGGGACAGGCUGCCAGUACAGCCUCAAAGGACCCUGAGCAUCAGUAGAGCAAUAAGCCUGAGGCUUCUCUUGUGAUCCACAUGGUGCCAGCCUGGAGCUCAAGCUCCUCUUCCUCAUGGCUGUGCUACUCCCUUGUCCAGCUGCAGCAUCCCUGGGACAUCCUACUGCCACCACCUUGUCUUCUCCCUUGGAAUCAAGGUCUUCUCCAGACAGGGCUCAAACACUCCCAGGACAGGGAUGCCCCAGUACCCAGGGACCCAUCGCAGGGUGGCGGCAACCCACAGCACCAGAGGAUGAUGGAGGUGACAGGGACCUCAGGGUCCCACCCUGGUCCCACCCUGCUCCAGCAGGGACCCCAGGGCUGGUGCAGCCCCAUGUGAGCACACGAGUCCCAAAGAGGCCGGGCAGCGAGCGGGGAAGGAUUUAUUGACCGAGGGCCGGGGUACAUCACAGUUUGAGUUCCCUUCCCGCCUCCGCAGAGGACGUCGCGUUGGACUUCCCGGGCAAAGUGUGCGGAGAGGCUUCACAGUUUCAUCCUUCGGUAAAGCAGAACUGAGGCAGUGACAAAUGGCAAACUACGUCGUAUGAAAAAAUAAUACAAACUCUUCUCUUUAAAUAUC